AUUGAACGCUGGCGGCAGGCUUAACACAUGCAAGUCGAGCGGGGUGAUGGUGCUUGCACUAUCACUUAGCGGCGGACGGGUGAGUAAUGCUUAGGAAUCUGCCUACUAGUGGGGGACAACAUCUCGAAAGGGAUGCUAAUACCGCAUACGUCCUACGGGAGAAAGCAGGGGAUCAAUUGUGACCUUGCGUUAAUAGUUGAGCCUAAGUCGGAUUAGCUAGUUGGUGGGGUAAAGGCCUACCAAGGCGACGAUCUGUAGCGGGUCUGAGAGGAUGAUCCGCCACACUGGGACUGAGACGCGGCCCAGACUCCUACGGGAGGCAGCAGUGGGGAAUAUUGGACAAUGGGGGGAACCCUGAUCCAGCCAUGCCGCGUGUGUGAAGAAGGCCUUAUGGUUGUAAAGCACUUUAAGCGAGGAGGAGGCUCUUUUGGUUAAUACCCAAGAUGAGUGGACGUUACUCGCAGAAUAAGCACCGGCUAACUCUGUGCCAGCAGCCGCCGUAA
rnacentral:rRNA from 1 species